rnacentral:rRNA from 1 species
UACGUAGGGGGCAAGCGUUGUCCGGAUUUAUUGGGCGUAAAGAGCUCGUAGGCGGUCUGUCGCGUCUGCUGUGAAAACCUAGGGCUUAACUCUGGGCGUGCAGUGGGUACGGGCAGGCUAGAGUGCGGUAGGGGAGACUGGAAUUCCUGGUGUAGCGGUGAAAUGCGCAGAUAUCAGGAGGAACACCGGUGGCGAAGGCGGGUCUCUGGGCCGUAACUGACGCUGAGGAGCGAAAGCAUGGGGGAGCGAACAGG